rnacentral:rRNA from 1 species
UACGGAGGGAGCUAGCGUUGUUCGGAAUUACUGGGCGUAAAGCGCACGUAGGCGGCUUUGUAAGUUAGAGGUGAAAGCCCGGGGCUCAACUCCGGAACUGCCUUUAAGACUGCAUCGCUAGAAUCCAGGAGAGGUGAGUGGAAUUCCGAGUGUAGAGGUGAAAUUCGUAGAUAUUCGGAAGAACACCAGUGGCGAAGGCGGCUCACUGGACUGGUAUUGACGCUGAGGAGCGAAAGCGUGGGUAGCAAACAGG